AUGCUCAGCAGCCAGCUCACCGUCCCAGUCAGCAAAUGGAAAUCGGACAAGUUCCAAUGCAGCGUUGCACAUCCAUUUACCAGAUCCACAGUCAACAAACAGAUCGAAUCCUGCAAGAGCAAAGACCCUGUAGCCCCAAAAGUCCGCCUGCUCCAUUCCUCCUGCAGCCCCGAAUCCAGCAGUGCCUCCAUUGAACUGGUGUGCUUUAUCUCUGGUUUCUACCCCAAACAUGUGACGGUAGAGUGGUUGGUGGGUGGGCAAUCUGGGUUGCUGCCCUCAGUCACAGGCGAGCCCAGGAAAGAUGCCAGUGGGCACACCUUCAGCACCAUCAGCACAGCCACCAUUAAGCAAUCAGACUGGCAAGAGAAGAAUGCCUACAUCUGCCAGGUGACCCAUGCAGCAGCCGCAGAACCACUGAGAAGCAAAGCCAAGAUAUGUGAAGGCUCCUUCGACAUCAGAACCUUCAUCCUACCCCCAAACGCCAAUGACCUUUACAUGACAAGGCAAUCCACAGUCACCUGUGUGGUGAACAACCUGGAAAGCGACGCUGGACUGGAAGUGACCUGGUCUCGGGAGAAAGGGCCGGUGACCCCUGAGCCAUUACAGACAAGAGAGGAGCUUAAUGGCACUCUCACUGCAACCAGCUCUUUGGUCAUCAAUGUCGAUGACUGGCUAGUAGGGGAGGCAUUUACCUGCACAGUGAAUCUUCCAGGCCUGCUUCAACCCAUCACCGUCAGCGCUAACAAGAAGACAGAACCCAGCGUUGGUCCCAAUGUGUACCUCUUCCGUCCCCACCAUGAGGAGCUCAGCUCUAGGGAUCAAUAUGUCUCCAUCACUGCCCUAGUGAAAGGCUUCACACCCAAUGACAUCUCCCUGAAAUGGCUCAAGAAUGGCAACCCCUUGGCCAAAGACGACUACAUGAACACUCCAGUCUUCAGAGACAGCAACGACUCCUAUUUCUUAUUCAGCAAACUGAAGGUCCCCAAGACUGACUGGAACAGAGGUGACUCCUACACCUGCAUGGUCAUCCACGAAGGUCUGCACCUCAAGUUCAUCCAGAAGAACAUUGAGAAAUCCCACGUGAUAAUAAUAUCAACGGAGAUUGAUCACAGCAAUGAGAUAGAAGACGAACUGGAAAGUCUGUGGAGCACCAUCUUGGUUUUCUUCAUUCUCUUCCUCCUCAGCGUGUGCUAUAAUGCCACAAUGACAUUCUUCAAGGUAAAAUGGCUUUUCACCACUGUGGUACAGCUGAAGAAGCAGCCUCUAGCCCACGAGUACAAGAAUGUAAUCCCGCAGACGGCGUAG